CGGUAUAGUAUGACGGGAAAAUGUUUCUUUCCCCUCCUUUCCCGUCGCCAACAUUUCCGCGAAAAUGUUUUAGGUGGUCUUUUCGAUAUCCAAAAGUGCCCCUGGAAGCCGGUGCCCCCGCCCCCAAUCUUUUGUUGCUUCCUACGCCCCUGACUGCACUCACCUCAAAUGAUCCCAGUGGAGGUGCUUCUUGGACGAUUCUGGGAAUGUUUGUCAAAUCAUACUCACUUAAAGAACAUCUGAAGUCUCCUAAGUUGAGAAAAUAGGCGUUCCAGUUUUUCG